rnacentral:tRNA from 1 species
CGGGGCGUAGCGCAGUCUGGUAGCGCACCACACUGGGGGUGUGGUGGUCACAGGUUCAAAUCCUGUCGUCCCGA